AACGAACGCUGGCGGCAUGCCUAACACAUGCAAGUCGAACGAGACCUUCGGGUCUAGUGGCGCACGGGUGCGUAACGCGUGGGAACCUGCCCUUAGGUACGGAAUAACUCCCCGAAAGGGGUGCUAAUACCGGAUAAUGUCUUCGGACCAAGGAUUUAUCGCCUUUGGAUGGGCCCGCGUUGGAUUAGCUAGUUGGUAGGGUAAAAGCCUACCAAGGCGACGAUCCAUAGCUGGUCUGAGAGGAUGCUCAGCCACCCUGGGACUGCGACAAGGCCCAGACUCCUACGGGAGGCGGCAGUGGGGAAGAUUGGACACUGGGCGAAAGCCUGAUCCAGCAAUGCCGCGUGAGUGAUGAAGGCCUUAGGGUUGUAAAGCUCUUUUACCCGGGAUGAUAAUGACGGUACCGGGAGAAUAAGCUCCGGCUACCUCCGU
rnacentral:rRNA from 1 species